AUAUGAUGGCUUGUUUGUCCAGUCAAUCCCCCCGAUUAGUUUUCAAAAGUAUGACGGCUUGUUCGUCCACUUAGAGACAAGCUGCCAUUCGGUUUCCCAUCAGACGCCACAGAUGUGAAGAGCAGCAACACGCCUGGAUGAGACAACAGCCGUAAGCGGUCACGGUCCCUGUGCACAGGAAGCCUGGAAAUGAAAACGGAGGAGGGACACCAAGAGCAACCCGACUCCAGGAGGCCAGUUCAGCGCUGCUCCUGCGUGGUAACCUUGCUCUGGCUGUGCUGUAAAACCUGGUUACAGUGGACACAGUUUCCAUCCGGUCUUAUUCCAGGUCAUCGAGCGGAGAGAUCUGGGGCCUUCAGAGGUCAAACUCACUGCCUUUACUUCCUUAAGGGUCAGCCAGUUUAAAAUGGCUGAAGUCUGAUGUGUCCAUUUUUGGUAGGUGUUAACAAAGCACCAGGACUCAUUAUCAUGAGAUCAUCCCUGACAAGCCUGAACCAUAGCUAGGACAGACACGCUCUCUCUGAAGGUCUUCACCCACCAGAUCCUGGUGGCCAGGCUGUCUUGCCUCCCUAUCUCUGUGUCUCCACAUGGUGCUCCCCUCUGGAUAUGCAACCCUGUCCCUUUCCACAUUUGAUAAACACCCCCACUACAGUGGCCCAGGCAUACCAAGUUCCAGUAUGACCUUGUCCCAUGUAGUCACAUCCGUGACUGUAUACAGGGCCUGGGAUGAGAGCUUUCUGCCUUCCAAUAGAGUCCAGUCACCAUAGUAACCCCGUUUCUGACUAAAGGAGAGUUAGUGGGACACGGACGGACAGGGAGGUGAAAGUAAGCUUCGUGAAGUGGGGGCAGGAAUCUAGAGAGGACCAACAGAGGGAAGGGGGAGUCCCAGGGACCCUAUAAAGUGCCCCAAACCCAAGCCAGUGUCCAUUUAGUAGAUUUCCAGCCUUGGACUUCUCCCGUCCUGCACACAAAUCUCCAUGGCGUGGUCUCCUAUCACUUCCAGUUGUUCAGUUCUUUGUUCAUGUCAGGGAAUGAACGUGGCAAUUCCCUAGACAAUACCCAUCACCCCCAGUCCAGGAUUUCAGAGGACAGCUGUAUACCUGACUGAAAACUGAGAAGCAUCAGAAGUGACUGUGACUCACUGGGUAUUCCAAGGGCCUCCUUAAAGCAAGGGAUACCCCAAUCAGGACGAGUGUGGUAGAAAUCCAGGUGAUCCCCCACAGCCACUAGGAGUAAGGACAGUAGAUGUUUGGGUGCCAGUGGCACAGAAUCCAAGUGCCAUUGAGGUCCAUCACCUGUGAGUCAGCACACAGAGGCUAUGGUCCCAAGGAGGUCAAAGCUGAAAGUCACGCUGGUAGCCCCACACUGGUAAUGUGCAGGGUCUCCCACACAGUCCUGCUGGUAGUGGCAUAAAGCUGCAGGAAGCAUCAGGACUGUGGAUGGCCACCCAGGACAGCAGCAGCUGUAUUAGCAAAGCUGGCCGGAGUCAAUGAGAGGAACCAUGUGUGCAGAGUCGGGGAGGCAAAGCUGUGUGCACCCUUCAGAGCUCAGGAGAUUGUGAGUGAAUCCCAGCUAUCUGGUAAUGAGCUAUUUAUAUUGGAUGACUUUUUGUUUGGCUGUGAUUGGUUUUCAUUGCGCCCUGGUUCUUUCCUCUUGGAAUUAGAAUGACAAGAAAUGUUUCUGAGUUGGCAGGUGGAUGGGUCUCAAAAUGAGGCAUCUAAAUCUUGGUUCCCUGGCUCCCCUAGUAUGUUACUGGGCUAAUGAGUGGGUGCCUCUCUUCCUCCUUCUGACCCUGGCUCUGACUCUGUGAACACAGGUGAAUGAAGCCGGUCUAGAGCAGCUGCUGAAUAGACACAGCAAAUGAGGCUCCUGGCUGAUCUCAGGCUGGUGUGGUUUACUAAAGGAGGAAGCUGGGUAGACAGAGUACCCAGUUGCGCAUGGGUAAGGCGUGGAAAUCCUGUUAUGCAGCCUGACUUCUCCUGAGGACAGAUGAGACUGUCCGAGCAGCAGCUCCCUGCUGACAGACUGGACAUCCCCAUUCAGGUGGAUGAGAAUUCAAGUAGGCAAAAGCUGACCCAAGAUCUUGUGAUCUCUCCUCCCCCAGCUUGCUUUCAAUGGACAAACUAGUUCCAAGAAUUCCUGGUCAGACUGCUUUGCUCAUGUGUUUCAUCAUACCAAUAGUAACCCUACUAGGACAAUGAGAUAUGCAAAGGUCAAAGUUCGAUAUACAGAUGGCAGGGUGUUCAAUAAGCAUGCUUGGAGGCUAUGGUAAUGUAGUCAGAGAGACUUUAGGUCCUGGGGAACCAUGGCAUCCUUCAGAAAGUCCUGUAACUGUGGGGAGUUACCUGGUGACCCCACCCAGCAAGCUCUAGCCAGUGUCUGGUCUACAAAGAAGAGGGUCGUCCAGAGGAGACUUCUCCUGCAUGCUUCCGAGGGAAGCCACAGUGAAGGAAGGCCUUUCAUUUCAACUCUGGAGUCAGUGAUUAAGGAAAAGGGCAGGGGCUCUGCUGAAGCCAGACUCUUAAGUAGUCUUGGUACUAAAAGGUAAGAGUGGCCAGUUCUGGCUACAGGUGUGAUCCUAAACACCCAGUAGGAAGGGACACUUGGGGUACGACCGUGACUGGCAUGCAUUCCUUGGGGUUUUAAGGAAUCAUACUCCCUGGACAUUGGGCUCAAUUCAACAUUGAAGCACUUAUGUGAAGCCAAGAGAGAUAGGUCCACUAUUAUUUUAACCUAAUAAUCAAAUAGUAGUUAAAUGUCUUCUCUCUCUCUGGGAGCCAUCUCUCACUGUGGUUCUAGCCACACCAAUAGCUACCAACAUGCCUGAAAGGAGAUUCAAUUCAUCACUCUCAAGACGAGUCUCGGCUGUGGGACAUUUUGGGCAAUGGCUAGCCUACUCUGGGCUACACUAAAGUGGCCUCUAGCAUUAUUCUCUCCAUGCCAUCUGGCCCUUUGCUUCUACAGAUGGUUCUGCAGAAAGAGCUCGAGAUACACUGCCUGCCAAAAUUCUACCAAAGCCACCAGGACCAGCCCAGGAGUCGCCUCCUCAGAGUUCUUUCUCUUCUAGAGCUGCAUGGCUCCCUGACAGGAUAUUUAAGGCCUAAAGACCGUUCCCUUAGAGAGACCUCCCAACAUGAUCAGUCAAACCUCGCUCUCUGAUCCAGCUGUAAACCAUACACCUUGGUAUGGUCCUUAUCAGCCUACGCAAUAACCUCGGCUCUCAAUUCUACCCUCUAUAAUAAACACGAUGCCCUUCCGGAGGACUGCAUUUUUACCACCAGAGAGCCCAGUCCACGGGAUCCCAGA